GUGAAUGAAAACAUCCUCCAUAAGCCAUCUAUUCUUCAAGAAAAGCCAUCUACUGAAGGCUACAUUGCAGUUGUGUUACCCAAAUUUGAAGAAAGUAAAAGCAUAACAGAAGGGUUACUGACACAAAAACAAUAUGAAGAAGUCAUGGUGAAACGCAUUAAUGCCACAACAGCUACGUCAUGAGGAUUGACAUGGAACAAAAAGCAAAGUGGGAUUCUUGUUACCUGGCCUAAACCAUCAGGGUACUAAAGGAGAAGAACCAGUAUAUGUAAAGCAUACCUAACAGCCAGCCAUAUGCAGGGGAGGCCUAGUGCUUCACUUAGUUUUCCCUCUCUGUCUUCAUAAUGAGCCUUGGUUCCCAUUUGUCUACAGCCUGCCAGAUCUGGCCUGCCCAUGUACUCACACUGUUCUCUUGCAUCUCUCUAACAACUGGCAUGCAAGGCAUGUUUUUCUGAUUAAAAACAAACAAAGCUCUUUGAAGAAGAUUUAGAAAAUACAGAAGAGUUUUAAGUAGCCAAGUAAAAAUAAUUUACCCAUCAUCCCAUAAUCCAGAAGUAAAUACAUUUGACCCUUGAGCAACAUAGGUUUGAACUGCAAGGGUCCACUUAUGCAUGGACUAUUUUCAACUAUAAACGAGUCAAAAAUAUAUCAUUAACCAAACACGAAACCCACUUAUAGAGCAGGUUCAUAUACUCAGGUUCCAAAGGGCCAACUGCAGGACUUGAGUUCUCACGUAUGGAUUUGGGUAUAUGUGGAAGUUCCUGGAACCAAUCCCCUAUGUAAACCAAGGGAUAACUACUACAUUUUAACCUACUUCUGUUUGAACAUAUGGUAUGGUUAUUGCUUUUGCCUCGUUUUCCUAACAGUUUGAAGUUUAAAAAAACCUAACCCACCUUUCUUACCCAGUCUUCUAUAAUGUGCCUACCAAAAAGCCUAGUCCUAGCCCAUCUGCCUCAACUCCUCUCCCUUUUAGGUUGUAGGGAAGAGGCCGGAGUGUAGAGUAUAUUAUAUCUUCUGUCCCCCUUAUGCCAACAAGAUGGCCUUCCCCUCUGAAACAAAGUAAAACUGCAACACUGUGACUUCUUAAAUGAGGGAUAUGUGAAAAGGCUAUGAAAAAUACAAAGGCUUUCCUAGGAAAUGUGUUAUAAUGCAGCGGGAAGCUAAUUCUUGAAAUAUGCACAUUAUAGUUACUCAGUCUCACAUACUCUAGUUACUGGCAAAGAAGUUACUGAGAAUAUGUCAUUCAAAGGCAUAGGGGCCUUUGAAUGGAACAAAUGCUUUCACAUCAUUUAAAGUAAAAAAAAACCUCCAACAACUGUGAAUUUAUAGUUUAAGAGUGAUUUACACUGAAUUUCAAAUAAAAGGACUAUAAAACGUGUUAUUUUUCUGUAAGGGCUAUAACAUACAUGUCAAUAUCACUGUUUUUAAAUAAAAUAUACUUUUAUACA
rnacentral:lncRNA from 1 species